UACGUAGGGGGCAAGCGUUGUCCGGAAUCAUUGGGCGUAAAGAGCGUGUAGGCGGUUCAGUAAGUCUGCUGUGAAAGUCCAAGGCUCAACCUUGGGAUGCCGGUGGAUACUGCUGGGCUAGAGUACGGAAGAGGCGAGUGGAAUUCCCGGUGUAGCGGUGAAAUGCGCAGAUAUCAGGAGGAACACCAAUGGCGAAGGCAGCACUCUGGGACGUGACUGACGCUGAGACGCGAAAGCGUGGGGAGCAAACAGG
rnacentral:rRNA from 1 species